AAUCACUAAACCCUAAAAAAAUAUAUAAACCAUAACCCAAAUAUCAAAAAUAUGCAAAUAGUACAUAAUAUAAAACAUUAUUAAAAUAUAAUAGUAACAAACAAAUCGUAUAGUACAUAUAUUUCAAAUUUUGAAAUGUCUAUAAUUACAGAAAAUGAAGUAAUGUUUACCCCAGUGUCAACUCAUACCUUCAAUAAACUAGACUCAAAACACUAAUCACUAAACCUUAAAACAAAACAUAAACCCU
rnacentral:lncRNA from 1 species